CGUGGUAAGUGUGUAUUGGGUCGUGCUCAGAUGAGAAGGAAAAAAAAAACCGAUCACCAAGUUCUUCCUCUCGUGUUCUGUCUCUCUCUCUGGUUCCCAAAAUUCGCCUGCUUCAGAGACGAAUCGAAGAGGGUGUUUGGUGACGCCACCGGAAUUAUCUAUUGGGAAAAUGGACGCCGGAGCUGAAGUUGAUGUGGACCGGACGGUGGAUGCGGAAUCUGGGUUGAAGAAAGCCAGCGGCGGAAGAUUGGAGCCGUCUUCUUCGAAUCAGGGGGAGAUAUUGGGAACACUUGCUACGGUGGAGGAGGAUUCACAAGCAAUCGCGGAGAGCUUCUCGUCUCUCUUCGUUUCCCUCCGAUCGACUCUCUCUGAGGCUACAGGAAGCUCAGUUGAUCACAUGACUUGCUUUGGAGAUGCAGCUGGACGCCUUCAGGAAACCGCUCUAGAUGCAUCCACUAAAGGGAACCGCUACAUCAACUCUUGCCUCAGAUUAAACGAGGAAAUUAAAGGCGUUGAUACUCUGGCGGCUCGGUUAAAGCAGCUGAGGAGAAAUAUGGAUGUUCUUGACACGGCUGUGAACAAGCUUCUCCGUCCUCCAUGACAAGUCAUUAUUAGCUUUCAUGGACUUGGAUCACUUAUCUCUCGUACAUAGAGUUUCAGGAAACGCAAUCAAGACUCAGAUGAUAAAUACCGAAAUAUAUGGCUUCAUCAUCAUCAGUAUGAUGAUUUCACAUGCUAGUUUCAAUGGGUCGUUUUGCUUUUUAUUUUUAUCAUUAUUAGAAGUUGUUAUUCAAGGACCCAUUUUGGCCGCACCAAUCAAAUCAGUUUGAGAUU